rnacentral:rRNA from 1 species
GUGGUGUCACAAAAUCGGAGGCCACGACUGUUUACUAAAAACACAAUUCAGAGCAAUGAUGAAAAUCAUAGUAUUCUGGAUGAAAUUUGCCCGAUGCCAUUAACAUAAAAGAGGUAAUGGGAAACUGUUACUAAUUGAAAGUCUGGUUAAUAGCGGUCUUAACUAUGAGGAUCCUAAGGUAGCAAAAUAAAUUGGCCAUUAAAUGUGGUCUGGUAUCAAUAGUGUAACGAUGGUCUCACUGUCUCUACAACUUGCUCAGUGAAAUUGAAUUAUCCGUGCAGAUGCGGAUUGCCUCCAGGUGGACGGGAA